UUUUUUUUUUUCAUUUUUGUUUUCCGUAUUUUCCGCAUUCGAUUUUGUUUUACAAACACUAUUUGCGAUUCUUCGUAUUUUAGAAACAAACGUCUCUAAAACGAGUGUGAUUAAAUUACAAAUACGCGUAAUUAACAGUGCCGGGGACAUCGCAUUAACGUAAUGUUAACAAGCAUCGCUAUACAAUUGUCAUACGGAUACGUUGAAAUCGGACGUUUAAAAGACGUUGCGUGAGUGACGUAAUUGCGGCCGAAAUACGUACUUGAACGGAACACAAAACCGUGAUUUAACAUGUUUCAAAAGGACGUCUCUGCGACACAUCCGAGACAAACGUCAAAAGCACGGUGCGCCACAGGAACACAGGAAGGAGUAUCGUCCGUCGGUCCCCGCGUGUCCCUCGAAGGAUUAAGUCCCUAUCAGGGACCUAGAAAUUUCUCGCGCAAAGGCGCACGAGACCUCUAAACGUUGUACAAUUAUCAUGUCGCACUAGUUACCUUUCGAAACGAGCUUUGAUCGAGUCGGAGCGUUACGGAUUAUGUUGGGUGUUUUUUUUCAAACUCUUUUUAUCGUUUCGAACGGGCCGGUCGCCUUGACGCCGUAGUCCAGUCGAAACUCGUUGUGACGGGGUACGACUGUAGCGCCCUAAACCGUCGCCCGACCCCGGAAAACCGCGCCGAGGCCUGUCGCCUUUGCCGUGCACGCGGUAUCGUUCCGUUGUUGUCGUUUCCGUUGUUUAUACGCCCGUCCCUGGGCGCCCGCCGCCGCGAUAUCAGCCGCCCCGUUUACCGCGCGCCACUCUCGCGAUGUCCAAUCCAACGCGCUGCGUUCAAU